UACGGGGGGAGCAAGCGUUGUUCGGAUUUACUGGGCGUAAAGGGCGCGUAGGCGGCCAGCUCAAGUCCGUUGUGAAAUCUCCGAGCUUAACUCGGAAAGGUCAACUGAUACUGCGCGGCUAGAGUGCAGAAGGGGCAACUGGAAUUCUCGGUGUAGCGGUGAAAUGCGUAGAUAUCGAGAGGAACACCUGCGGCGAAGGCGGCCUGCUGGGCUGUUGCUGACGCUGAGACUCGAAAGCGUGGGGAGCAAACAGG
rnacentral:rRNA from 1 species